rnacentral:rRNA from 1 species
UACGUAGGGAGCGAGCGUUGUCCGGAAUUACUGGGUGUAAAGGGAGCGUAGGCGGGAUUGCAAGUCAGAUGUGAAAUGCAGAGGCUUAACCUCUGAGCUGCAUUUGAAACUGUAGUUCUUGAGUGAAGUAGAGGUAAGCGGAAUUCCUGGUGUAGCGGUGAAAUGCGUAGAUAUCAGGAGGAACACCGGUGGCGAAGGCGGCUUACUGGGCUUUUACUGACGCUGAGGCUCGAAAGCGUGGGUAGCAAACA